UAGGUUGAUGCAAAAGUAAUCACGGUUUUGGCCAUUGAAAGUAAUGGCCAAAACCGUGAUUACUUUUGCACCAACCUA
rnacentral:miRNA from 1 species